rnacentral:rRNA from 1 species
AACGAACGCUGGCGGCAUGCCUAACACAUGCAAGUCGAACGAUCCGCAAGGAUAGUGGCGCACGGGUGAGUAACGCGUGGGGAUCUGCCCAUCAGUGGGGAAUAACGACGGGAAACUGUCGCUAAUACCGCAUACGCCCCGAAAGGGGGAAAGAUUUAUCGCUGUUGGAUGAACCCGCGUCGGAUUAGCUAGUUGGUGUGGUAAUGGCGCACCAAGGCGACGAUCCGUAGCUGGUCUGAGAGGAUGAUCAGCCACACUGGGACUGAGACACGGCCCAGACUCCUACGGGAGGCAGCAGUGGGGAAUAUUGGACAAUGGGCGCAAGCCUGAUCCAGCAAUGCCGCGUGAAUGAUGAAGGCCUUAGGGUUGUAAAGUUCUUUCGACGGGGACGAUGAUGACGGUACCCGUAGAAGAAGCCCCGGCUAACUUCGUGCCAGCAGCCGCGGUAAUACGAAGGGGGCUAGCGUUGUUCGGAAUUACUGGGCGUAAAGCGCACGCAG